CAUAACGAGAGUUUGAUCCUGGCUCAGAACGAACGCUGGCGGCGCGCUUAACACAUGCAAGUCGAACGAGAAGGCGUAGCAAUACGCUUGUACAGUGGCGAACGGGUGAGUAAUACGUGGGUGACCUACCCUCGAGUGGGGAAUAACCCGCCGAAAGGCGGGCUAAUGCCGCGUACGCUUCCAUCUUUAUGGAGGUGGAAGGAAAGCCGUGCCGUGGGCACGGCGCUCAAGGAUGGGCUCACGUCCUAUCAGCUUGUUGGUAGGGUAACGGCCUACCAAGGCUCCGACGGGUAGCUGGUCUGAGAGGACGAUCAGCCACACUGGCACUGCGACACGGGCCAGACUCCUACGGGAGGCAGCAGUGAGGAAUAUUGCGCAAUGGGCGAAAGCCUGACGCAGCGACGCCGC
rnacentral:ncRNA from 1 species